AAAAGCCCUGUUGAGAGGCAGGACACGUAUCGGUGGCCUUAUGUCCCCUUCGCAGAUGAUUGUCAGCAGGUUGGCCAUGCUCCCCACCCGCUUGUCACUUGCAGAGUCCCAUAGAGUAUCUGGAGUAACUGCUGAGAACUUAAUGUAUGACAUACCCUAAUUAAAGAUCACGGUCAAGUUUGGGAUCGCUGGAAGCAGGAAAAAGAGCACAACAUAUUUAACGAGCCACUGGAUCACACAUUCUUUAAUUCCCUAAUCAAGAGGAAAUGCCUGACUUAAAUCAAAAAGCGAUAGAAUCAAUGGCUUGUUUUGACAGUUCAGAGAGACUUAUUCAUUUUAUUUACCACAUCUAAUUACAUUGAUUCCUUUAGGGAACACUUAUUGAGCUCACACUGUGUGCCAAAGUACUGUGUUGGGUGGUAGAGAUACGAAACAAGCACAACAGUCCUCAUGCUCAUGGAGUCCA
ensembl:lncRNA